rnacentral:ncRNA from 1 species
AAAGAGUUUGAUUAUAGCUUAUAAUUUAGGUUUAAACUAAGAUUACAUGAUAUUUUUGAGUAUAGAUUUUAUCGACAUCAGUAACUAAAAAUUGUGUGAAUUAAAAAAUUAAGAACAUGUUAGUUUGAUAUAUAUAUGUGGGAAAUAUUAAUGCCAGCAGCCGCGGUUAGAUUCAAACAUAAACUAAAUUAUUUUGGAUUGGUUAGAUGUUAAAGUUUUUUAAAAAUUUAUUUUAUAAAAAAGUGUUUUAGGUAGAAUAAUAACGCUUUGUAUUUUUCCUUACAUGAAUUUCUUGUUUCUUACAAAUCGAUGAAGCGAAACCAAGGUUAGUAUCUUGUUAUCCAUCUGGCAACAGUGACUUGUUCCUCCUUACUAAGUAUUAAAUUAUCAAAUGGAAAUAAAUUGGCGGUGUUUGAUUUAUAAAAUAGGGGAACCUGGGUGUUAAAGGACGAUCCUCCUUCAUUUGUUCCUAAGACUAGGCGUAUGUGUGGUUGUUUAGUUAGUAAUGAAAGUUUCUAGUGCAAUAUUUUAUAUAUAUAUAUAUAUAUAUGUAUACAAAAUAAUUCAGAUAAACAUGUAGUUAUUCUUAGGCCAGUCUGGGUUACAGUUAAAAUUGAAAUAUUGUUGAAUAGUUUUAUUAAAAUAAAAUUUGAAAAAGGACUUGUAAGUAAUUUGUCCAAAUAAAGGUUAUGUGAAUACGUUUCAAAUGAGUACAAAUCGCCCGUCGCUCGCAGAUUAAAUCUGGGAUAAGUCGUAACAAAGUAACGGUACUGGAAAGUGUUGUUAAAAUAUGUGU